GACGAACGCUGGCGGCGUGCUUAACACAUGCAAGUCGAACGGUAAGGCCCUUCGGGGUACACGAGUGGCGAACGGGUGAGUAACACGUGGGUGAUCUGCCCUGCACUUCGGGAUAAGCCUGGGAAACUGGGUCUAAUACCGGAUAGGACCACUGCCUGCAUGGGUGGUGGUGGAAAGCUUUUGCGGUGUGGGAUGGGCCCGCGGCCUAUCAGCUUGUUGGGGGGGUGAUGGCCUACCAAGGCGACGACGGGUAGCCGGCCUGAGAGGGUGACCGGCCCCACUGGAACUGAGAUACGGCCCAGACUCCUACGGGAGGCAGCAGUGGGGAAUAUUGCACAAUGGGCGCAAGCCUGAUGCAGCGACGCCGCGUGAGGGAUGACGGCCUUCGGGUUGUAAACCUCUUUCAGCACCGACGAAGCGCAAGUGACGGUAGGUGCAGAAGAAGGACCGGCCAACUACGUGCCAGCCGCCGCCGUAA
rnacentral:rRNA from 1 species